rnacentral:rRNA from 1 species
GAUGAACGCUGGCGGCGUGCCUAAUACAUGCAAGUCGAGCGAACUGAUUAGAAGCUUGCUUCUAUGACGUUAGCGGCGGACGGGUGAGUAACACGUGGGCAACCUGCCUGUAAGACUGGGAUAACUUCGGGAAACCGAAGCUAAUACCGGAUAGGAUCUUCUCCUUCAUGGGAGAUGAUUGAAAGAUGGUUUCGGCUAUCACUUACAGAUGGGCCCGCGGUGCAUUAGCUAGUUGGUGAGGUAACGGCUCACCAAGGCAACGAUGCAUAGCCGAACUGAGAGGGUGAUCGGCCACACUGGGACUGAGACACGGCCCAGACUCCUACGGGAGGCAGCAGUAGGGAAUCUUCCGCAAUGGACGAAAGUCUGACGGAGCAACGCCGCGUGAGUGAUGAAGGCUUUCGGGUCGUAAAACUCUGUUGUUAGGGAAGAACAAGUACGAGAGUAACUGCUCGUACCUUGACGGUACCUAACCAGAAAGCCACGGCUAACUACGUGCCAGCAGCCGCCGUAA